UAAUUAGUAUAUCCUUAGAUAAGGGUUAUAGUGAGGUUCAGUUAAUGCCCCCCUUCAACUUGAUUGAUAAUACUGCCAUACAAUCUGAACCAGCUGGGCUCUUUUGCACAGUUAUGGUACUCAUCAUUGUAAUCAUGAACAUAAAUUAUAAUAUGCAUUGGUGAUCAGCUUGUUUUAUCUCAGUUGUGAGGCGAUUGAAUUUAAGUGACUGCCAACUUGUUCCUUUUUCACUUGGUAUCUGGUUCCUGGUAACUUGAAGAUGUAUUGAGAUCAUGUGUCCCUUUAACAUUUCGUACCAUUAUAUAGGUUAUUGAUUUUACAACUGUCCAGGCUUGAAUUUACUUGGGAGUACAUAUUCCAAGGACUUGAAGCAAAUGCCAAUCUUAUGAUGACCCUCUCCCUUGCUGCAUUAGGAUCCUUGAUGUGGCUGAGGAAGAACAAACCUAGGACUUUAAUUCCAAUAAUUUAUGCAUGUGCUAUGCUUCUGGCAACAAUGCCAUCUAUCACCAGGAGGAGCACGCCUAGGAUAAGAAGGAGCACUCCCAGG